rnacentral:rRNA from 1 species
AUUAUUUUAAGAUUAUUUUUUAUUGUUGAAAAAAUUAAAAAUAAAUUGUUUUUAACAAAAAUUAAAAUUUAUAAUAUUUCAUUUUUUGGUUUUUUGUUUUAAAUUAAAAUAAUAAAUAUGGGGGAAAAAAAAAUUUUGUUAUAAAUUAUAUUAGUUUAUUUUAAUUAAAAAUAUUUUUUAUUAAAUUUGUUUUUUUUAUUUUUUUAUAAAAAAUAUUAAUUUAAUUAUUAUUAUUGAGUUUAAUUUAGUUAUUUUUAAAAAAAUUUUGUAUAAAAUAAAUUUGAUAAUAAAUGUUUUUUAAAUUCUUUGGGGGUUUAGUUUAUGAUUUUUUGUUUCUGCUCAUUGUUAAAUAAAAGCACUUUUAGCGUGAUUGGUCCAAAGGUAA